rnacentral:tRNA from 1 species
GCUUGGAUAGUUCAGUUGGUUAGAGCAUGGUGCUGAUAACACCAAGGUUGCAGGUUCAAUUCCCGUAUGGGACAGCAGCA